rnacentral:rRNA from 1 species
UACGAAGGGGGCUAGCGUUGCUCGGAAUUACUGGGCGUAAAGGGCGCGUAGGCGGCACUGUUAGUCAGGCGUGAAAUUCCUGGGCUCAACCUGGGGGACUGCGCUUGAUACGGCAGAGCUUGAGGAUGGAAGAGGGUCGCGGAAUUCCCAGUGUAGAGGUGAAAUUCGUAGAUAUUGGGAAGAACACCGGUGGCGAAGGCGGCGACCUGGUCCAUUACUGACGCUGAGGCGCGACAGCGUGGGGAGCAAACAGG